UAAUAACGACACUUUAGCAAA
ensembl:piRNA 21ur-4661 ncRNA